rnacentral:rRNA from 1 species
AUUGAACGCUGGCGGCGGGCCUAACACAUGCAAGUCGAGCGAGCGGAGGAGGGGUGAGUAGUGUAGGGGGAUCUGGGUGAUGUACGCGUCUAACUACUGGAAACGGUAGCUAAUACCGCAUAACAUCAGUUGAACCGUUAUGGGAUUAGCUUGCAGGUAAGGUAACGGCUUACCUAGGCGUCGAGCCCUAGCUGGUCUGAGAGGAUGAUCAGCCAUACUGGGACUGAGACACGGCCCAGACUCCUACGGGAGGCAGCAGUGGGGAAUAUUGCACAAUGGGCGCAAGCCUGAUGCAGCCAUGCCGCGUGUAUGAAGAAGGCCUUCGGGUUGUAAAGUACUUUCAGUCGGGAGGCGUUACCUACAGAAGAAGCAACGGCUAACUCCGUGCCAGCAGCCGCGGUAAUAC